AUGAAGAUUGUUAUGCAGAAGAGGAUGAUUGUUACAGAAAGUAGGGAUGAAAACGAAGACCUUGAAGAGGGAGCAGAGACUCUGUUUCUUCGGAGAGAGAACCGAGAAUUUUCUUGGUGCAUAUCGUGUGCAGCAAAUUUGGGCAGAUGCAAGGCAACUGGUCUGGUUAUGGCAGCAGGCAGAUGGCAUGGUUUGAAUGGAGUCAUGAUGAAGAUGAUAGAAUGGUUGAAGAUUAACUUUAGGUUUUAG